UCGAACCUGAUCAAAACAGAAGCCCAGUGAAUGGUGACCUGAGCUGAGGCAACUCACGUGUUUACUUCAUUCUCCAUUAGAAAUGCAGAAUCCUGGUUAAUGCAACUUUAACUCUGCACAGUUCAAAUCAAGCAUUGUCAGGAGAUUCAGGAGUGACAGUUCUUAAGGCCCUUUGAUGUGCCCACGUUGUGGGCAAUAAGAAAUAUAAGAAUGGCCAUACUAGUCAGAUUAAUGGUCCAUCUUGCUCAGCAUGCUGUCUUCCAACAGUGGCCAAUGCCAGGUGCUUCAGAGGGAACGAGCAAAACAGACAAUCACCAAGUGAUCCAUCCUCUGUUGUCCACUCCCAAGAGACCAGACCUGACUCCUGCAACCCAUGCAAUCCCUGGAGUUGCUCAGAUGUAACUGGGAAGAAUUUUUUGUAAGGUUUACACAUGGCCACCUGAUGGAGCAGUCAGAAAUGCCCCAGGUAGCCAAUGAAGGGAGUUAAUAUUGCUAUCGCUAAAAAGCCUCCACAAAUUAUUGAUUGCACAGGCCGGGCUGACAGGAGGGGGGAAAAGGGAGCACGAUUGUUUUGAAAACCCGAGCUUGGGGGGCCUCCAAAACAUUUGUAACAUCUGUGUAAAAAUAAAGUGAAAUGGGAGAGGGUGUGACCCCAGUAAACAUGAUGUGUCAGGGCCUGAGUGCAUGUGCAAAAACCCAAAAGCACACCUUUUUAAUCUCUUAUGCUGCCAUUUAAUUCCCCGUCCCCAAUUUAUCAAGGGCCCGAUUCUGCCACCUCCAUUCACACUGCACAGUCCACACAGGCUGAGCUGCCCCCUUAAUUUACCGAUUAUCCAUAUUUACCUGGGGCUAGACCUGCCUUAUAGCUGUGAGUAGGGGUGCUACGGAGCUGGCCCAGUGGGAGCACAAGGAGGCAUUGUGCUCAGGGAAGCAGUGCCUCCUGAACUUCCCACCAAGCAGGGAAAGAACACCCAUUGUGCCACUCCUUGGGAGGGUAUGAUCCCUUCCAUGGCUAGCCAGCUUCAUGGACUGGUGCAGGGGGAUAAGAGUGAAACUAUUGGGCUGCCUCCUCCCUCCCCCUUGUGGGGUGGCUUGAGCCCCAGACGGAGCUGGCAGGGAGCAGCCCCUGUGCUCAAUAGAGCUCAGAGACUGUAGCUGUGGCUGGCCCAAGAGGAGAGAGCACUGGGGUGAAGGAGCAUAGUGACCAUGGACCAGAACUGAGGUCAGUACUUGGCUACUGGAGUUAGCUUCACCACCAUGGCUGCCACCCCCACUGUUUCCUGGGCUCUGGAGCCUUUGUCGGCCUGAUCCUGAGCGAUGUCCUGCCCAGACGGGCCAGAGAGAGGGACCCAGACAACGUCGCCACCCUACUGGCUCCAGCUGAAUCCCAGCCACACCCGGGGUGACACAGGAUCAGACUGUAACAACAACAGCUCUAGCCCAUUGCAGCCCCCACCAUAGCAAGACGCCAUGUCUGAAGAUGAAUGGCAGAUGUGAUGGCACCAGCAGAAGGAAUGCUGGGAUGUGUCAGCUGAUCCACACUGAGCACCGGGCACGGGCAGCAUGUCUGGACUGACUGCUUGGAAAGCAAGUGAGUAAACAGCCAAAGAGGACCACACUCCUGACAUGAGAGAUGGUAACAGGAAAGUUACAUCCACAAACGUAGCGCAUGGGAUUUCCUAAAGCUCCCACCUCACUCAGGAGCACGGACAGUCAACCUCAAAUUAAUCACUUCCAAAAAUCUCAUGUUUUUUUAAACCAGUCCUGUUAUUUUGGGGGUGGGACUCAUGAUUUUUGAACACUUGGCAUUGGCAACACUGUCAUCCCAGGCCCAAGGGGCCGAACUUGGAAGCCUUAGGGUUCAGGCAACUACGUCCAUAUUUGGGCACCCAGCUACACAGCAUGACUUUCGAAAGUGCCGAGCUGCUCCCAGCUCUGUUGCUUCGCCCUGCCGAGAAGUAGGCUGAAUACCUGGCAACCCUCCUGUCUGCAAAAAUACAGCGGAAAGGAAACUUGCUAGACCCUACUCUUAUGCUUGUUGUAGCUAGUGCAUAAGAAAGGUAGCUCCUACAGAACCGAUAAACAUGCCUUUACUGGUUGCACCAGGAACCCAGUUCUCAGCAGGGACCAAUUCCUGACACACGUGACCUGAGCUCAUCCCUUUUAAAGGGACCAUGGCUGACAGUGCAGAAGGUCCGGUUCAGUGGUCAAAGCACAUAGCCAGGAAUCGGAGCCAGGGUCAGAGCCAACACUGGAAGUCAGGAGUCAAAGCCGAGGCUCAGGCUGGAGUGAGGCGAGGCAGGGCUAAGGUUGAGGCAGAAGCAAGGCCAGGAACAAGCAAGCUCAGGUGCUCUCACAGCCAUGAGUAAAUGCUUUGAGCAGCCACUGAAUGGCUGCUGCUCCUGGGCAUAAGAGCCAGUCUGCUGACUCAUCCAACCAAUCAGGCAGACUCCGACCGGCCAAAUGCGCUCAUUAGGUUGCUCAGAGACUGGCUCUGCUACAGGCCCUGAUUCCAGGUCCCGAGUUGUGAAAUGCGACAGUUGAGUGCAAAAGUGAGUCCCAGCCUACAGUAGCAGCCUCCAUAGGUGACCACUGUGCUGUCUCACUGGUCCUCGUCUGCAUGUGCUGUACGAUGCAGUGGUUAAAGAUGUAAUGAGCAAAUUAUUAAAAAGAAAGAAACAAAACCCAGUAAUUCUCUGUGCAACACACA